rnacentral:sRNA from 1 species
UCCAAUGGAAGGCAAUCUAAGCUCGCCGCAUCCUGCGGUAACAAUUGCAUGAUCCACGUAUUUUGGG